GACGAACGCUGGCGGCGUGCUUAACACAUGCAAGUCGAACGCUGAAGCCCAGCUUUUGUUGGGUGGAUGAGUGGCGAACGGGUGAGUAACACGUGAGUAACCUGCCCCCUUCUUUGGGAUAACGCCCGGAAACGGGUGCUAAUACUGGAUAUUCACUGGUCUUCGCAUGGGGGUUGGUGGAAAGGGUUUUUCUGGUGGGGGAUGGGCUCGCGGCCUAUCAGCUUGUUGGUGGGGUGAUGGCCUACCAAGGCUUUGACGGGUAGCCGGCCUGAGAGGGUGACCGGUCACAUAGGGACUGAGAUACGGCCCAAACUCCUACGGGAGGCAGCAGUGGGGAAUAUUGCACAAUGGGCGAAAGCGUGAUGCAGCGACGCCGCGUGAGGGAUGGAGGCCUUCGGGUUGUGAACCCCUUUCGCUCAUGGUCAAGCCGCAACAAUGGUUGUGGUGAGGGUAGUGAGUAAAGAAGCGCCGGCUAACUACGUG
rnacentral:rRNA from 1 species